rnacentral:rRNA from 1 species
GACAGAGGGUGCAAACGUUGUUCGGAAUUACUGGCGUAAGCGCGUGUAGGCGGCCAUCUAAGUCGGGCGUGAAAUCCCACGGCUCAACCCGUGGAAGUGCACUCGAAACUGGAUGGCUAGAGUCCUGGAGAGGAAGGUGGAAUGCUUGGUGUAGAGGUGAAAUUCGUAGAUAUUCGCAAGAACACCAGUGGCGAAGCGGCUCACUGGCCCGGUACUGGACGCUGAGGUGCGAAAGC